AUCAGCUUGUUGGCGGGGUAACGGCCCACCAAGGCGACGACGGGUAGCUGGUCUGAGAGGAUGGCCAGCCACAUUGGGACUGAGAGACGGCCCAGACUCCUACGGGAGGCAGCAGUGGGGAAUCUUGCGCAAUGGUCUAACGACUGACGCAGCGACGCCGCGUGUGGGAGGACGCCUUUCGGGGUGUAAACCACUGUUGCCCGGGACGAACAGCGCUAUUCGUGGCGUCUGACGGUACCGGGUGAGGAAGCACCGGCUAACUCCGUGCCAGCAGCCGCGGUAAUACGGAGGGUGCGAGCGUUGUCCGGAAUCAUUGGGCGUAAAGGGCGCGUAGGUGGCCCGGUCAGUCUUUGGUGAAAGCGCGGGGCUCAACCCUGCGUCGGCCAGGGAUACUGCCGCGGCUGGAGCACUGUAGAGGCAGGCGGAAUUCCGGGUGUAGCGGUGGAAUGCGUAGAGAUCCGGAAGAACACCGGUGGCGAAGGCGGCCUGCUGGGCAGUUGCUGACACUGAGGCGCGACAGCGUGGGGAGCAAACAGGAUUAGAUACCCUGGUAGUCCACGCCGUAAACGAUGGGCACUAGGCGCUUGGGGGAGCGACCCCCCGAGGGCCGGCGCUAACGCAUUAAGUGCCCCGCCUGGGGAGUACGGAAGCUUGGAAUUCG
rnacentral:rRNA from 1 species